rnacentral:rRNA from 1 species
CAGCAGUGGGGAAUAUUGCACAAUGGGCGCAAGCCUGAUGCAGCCAUGCCGCGUGUGUGAAGAAGGCCUUCGGGUUGUAAAGCACUUUCAGUCGUGAGGAAGGUAGUGUAGUUAAUAGCUGCAUUAUUUGACGUUAGCGACAGAAGAAGCACCGGCUAACUCCGUGCCAGCAGCCGCGGUAAUACGGAGGGUGCGAGCGUUAAUCGGAAUUACUGGGCGUAAAGCGCAUGCAGGUGGUUUGUUAAGUCAGAUGUGAAAGCCCCGGGGCUCAACCUCGGAAUAGCAUUUGAAACUGGCAGACUAGAGUACUGUAGAGGGGGUAGAAUUUCAGGUGUAGCGGUGAAAUGCGUAGAGAUCUGAAGGAAUACCGGUGGCGAAGGCGGCCCCCUGGACAGAUACUGACACUCAGAUGCGAAAGCGUGGGGAGCAAACAGGAUUAGAUACCCUGGUAG